rnacentral:rRNA from 1 species
GAUGAACGCUGGCGGCGUGCCUAAUACAUGCAAGUCGAGCGAACAGAUCAGGAGCUUGCUCCUCUGACGUUAGCGGCGGACGGGUGAUUAACACGUGGUUAACCUAACUAUACGAAUGGGAUAACUUCGGGAAAUCGUAGCUAAUAACGGAUAAUAUAUUGAACCGCAUGGUUCACUAGUUAAAGACGGUUUUGCUGUGACUUAUAGAUGGCUCAGCCCCGCAUGAGCUAGUUGGUAAGGUAACGGCUUACCAAGGCUACGAUGGUUACCCGCCCUGAGAGGGAGGACGGCCACACUGGAACAGAGACUCAGCCCAGACUCCGAGACGGGGCAGCGGUAGGGAAUCCUACGCGAUGGACGAAUGCCGAACGGAGCAACGCCGCGGGAAGGAUGAACGACUACUGACCGGAGAGCUCUGUAGUUAGGGAAGAUGAAAAGUGUAAGUAACUGUGCUCGUCUUGACGGUACCUAAUGAGUAAGCCACGGCUAACUACGUG